UUCAUGACAGAUUGGCGUGAUGUUAAACAGCCUACACUGAAAUCAAAUCUCCAUUAUAUUUUAUGUGCAGAAAUUAGAUAGAUGUUGAAUUAUUGCCUCAAAUUUGAUUUUAUGUGCUCGCAUAUAAAUUUUAGUUGAUAACAAUAAAAUACAAUGUCAAUGCACAUAAUCUUCACUUGCGUUCUAAUGCAUUAUAAAGGUCAGAUUGUUAUAACCUGUUUAUGUUCAAAUUGAAUCCUAGAACACUCGCCGAGCAAUGAGAAGAAAACAUUUCACCUUCUGCAUCAUCCUGGUAGCACGAUUUGCGGUUUUGAAAUUAAUUGCUCUUUUGUUUAAAAAUAUGAUCUUAUUCUCAAAAGUUCUAUUGAAACCACUGACUCGAUGGGUUAUGGAGUUUUGUAAGACUAGAAGAGGUGCUGAAUCUAACUACCGGAUUCAAAUUCUGUGACGAUUGACGACGUGGACUGCAGUAAAAACAGUGCCACGCUCCUAGAACGUUUAAGGAUACGCCUAUUCCGAAUAGACACCAGCGUAAACUCCCACAUGCUUCAGCUCCACCCGUACUCCGGCAUAAAUGAAGGCUUUCUCAUUAACCCUACCGCUGCUCACUUCACUAUAACCAAAGCUACGAACUUGCUCCCGAAAAUCCAAUAAGUCCACCAGAAUGAUUUCAUUGAAGUGCAAAUAAACAUGAUAUUGAGAUCAAACUAACCGCAUAAAGUGUUUAAUUAGCUGUAAGCUUGUUU